UUGGGAGCAGAUCCUUGGUGGCCUUUGGAAGGCUUCCUUGAAAAUGUGUGCAGAGCAACCUGCCUUCCUUGCCAGCAGAGGGCGCCCAUGUCCUCUCAGCGCUGAAACAGAAACUGACCCCUGCCGUGUGGCCCCUCAGGCUGAAUGAGAUGUGACCCUGUGCACCCAAGAAGCCGUCAGAAAAAGCCGUCGUUAGCCAGGCUUGUGUCCAAGUUGAGGAUCGCUCUCUCCCUGAAACCCCCGGGCUGGGUAGCAACAGGGCACAGGCCGAACAGGCUCAGAGGGAAAAAGCUUAUGGCACCGGGCAGGAGGCAGGUCUGAGAGACGUACAGGGUGGCUCAUCACUCACUGCUUUGUGUUCAGAGGCAUGCCAGCACCUCCACCCCUAUCUCCUCCAAAGAAGACGGAUGGGUGCAGAAGAACUUCCCCCUGGAGUUUACUUUAAAUGCAGAAAAUCCAGUCAUGGAGUGGAAAAGACUGCCUUCACUCAGUUGCUGCCAAGACCCUGUCCGGACUGUGGACGAGAAGGACACCAGGGAACUGAUUGCCUCACUUUGCCUAGACAAGAACAGAUUCCUGAGGUCUCCAGGAUGGCAGUGAACUGAAUGCUUCUUCACCCAUACCUCUCUGACUGAAUGUGAGCACACUGACUCCCGACUUCCCCUCCCCACAUUGUCCCAUGCCAGCAGGAAAUAACUAGUUUUGAUCCAGCGCCAAUCUAACCAAGAAGGUCGGGAUGUUUGGCUGGAAUCUCCAGCUCAGCCCCAUUUCUCUCUCUCCCUCUCCAAACACUUUCCUCUCAGAAAAACCACCAAAAAGUCCAGUUCCACAUUCCUGGCGAUUGUGACGGCUCCUUCUCUGAAGCUGCUAGCUGCUCAAGAUCCCACCUAAAAGUGUACCAUAAUUGGACACAAACCCAGCUUCUGGAGGACACGCCAUCACUCCCUGCCCUCCCCCAACACCUACAGGGUAUUUAAGUGCCCUGCCUUGGAUCUGCCAUGUGAUUCUUCUCCUGCCCUCUUCCCCAGCCUGGAUCUCUGGGGUCUGGAGGGUGACCCAGGAGCGGCUUUGCCCAGAAUAAACCUGGCCUUUGAUUUUUUAA